rnacentral:rRNA from 1 species
UACGUAGGGUGCGAGCGUUGUCCGGAAUUAUUGGGCGUAAAGAGCUCGUAGGCGGCCUGUCGCGUCGGAUGUGAAAGCCCGGGGCUUAACCCCGGGUCUGCAUUCGAUACGGGCAGGCUAGAGUGUGGUAGGGGAGACUGGAAUUCCUGGUGUAGCGGUGGAAUGCGCAGAUAUCAGGAGGAACACCGGUGGCGAAGGCGGGUCUCUGGGCCGUAACUGACGCUGAGGAGCGAAAGCAUGGGGAGCGAACAGG